CACGUAGGCACCAAGCGUUGUCCGGAUUUAUUGGGCGUAAAGAGCUCGUAGGCGGUUCGGUAAGUCGGGUGUGAAAACUUUGGGCUCAACCCAAAGCCUGCACUCGAUACUGCUGUGACUUGAGUCCGGUAGGGGAGUGGGGAAUUCCUGGUGUAGCGGUGGAAUGCGCAGAUAUCAGGAGGAACACCGGUGGCGAAGGCGGGUCUCUGGGCCGAUACUGACGCUGAGGAGCGAAAGCGUGGGGAGCAAACAGG
rnacentral:rRNA from 1 species